rnacentral:rRNA from 1 species
UACGGAGGGUGCGAGCGUUGUCCUGAAUCACUGGGCGUAAAGCGUGCGUAGGUGGUUCGUUAAGUCUGAUGUGAAAGCCCUGGGCUCAACCUGGGAAUGGCAUUGGAAACUGGCGACCUAGAGUGCGGUAGAGGGCAGUGGAAUUCCCGGUGUAGCAGUGAAAUGCGUAGAGAUCGGGAGGAACAUCUGUGGCGAAGGCGACUGCCUGGACCAGCACUGACACUGAGGCACGAAAGCGUGGGGAGCAAACAGG